CUGGCUCAGAACGAACGCUGGCGGCGCGUCUUAAGCAUGCAAGUCGAACGGCAAGAGGUAGCAAUACCUCCUAGAGUGGCGGACUGGUGAGUAACACGUGGGUGACAUACCCUUCAGAUGGGGAUAGCUAUUAGAAAUAGUAGAUAAUACCGAAUACGAGCACAGGGGUUAGAGAUCUGUGAGGAAAGGAGCUAAGGCUCCGCUGAAGGAAUGGCCUGCGGCCCAUUAGCUAGUUGGUGAGGUAAGAGCCCACCAAGGCGAUGAUGGGUAUCCGGCCUUAGAGGGUGAACGGACACAUUGGGACUGAGAUACGGCCCAGACUCCUACGGGAGGCAGCAGCUAAGAAUAUUCCGCAAUGGACGAAAGUCUGACGGAGCGACGCCGCCGUGGAUGAAGGAGGCCGGAAGGUUGUAAAAUCCUUUUGAAACUGAAGAAUAAGCGUUGUAGGGAAUGACAGCGUGGUGACAGUAGGUUUUGAAUAAGCAACGGCUAAUUACGUGCCAGCCGCCGC
rnacentral:rRNA from 1 species